UCACCAGCGAGGUCCUGGAGGCCGCGUGCUUCCAGAGCGCCAAGCUCGAAGGGCUCGAGAAGGUCUGUUCGGCCCAAGCGCUGGAGGUC
rnacentral:tRNA from 1 species